rnacentral:rRNA from 2 species
CAAGGUUUCUGUAGGUGAACCUGCGGAAGGAUCAUUG